rnacentral:tRNA from 1 species
GGCUAGAAGGUAAAGCGUCUGCCUGCAGGGCAGGAGACCCGGGUUCGAUCCCUGG